UACGAGGGGGGCAAGCGUUGUUCGGAAUUAUUGGGCGUAAAGGGUGCGUAGGCGGUUUGACAAGUCUCAUGUGAAAUCUUCGGGCUCAACCCGAAGUCUGCAUGGGAAACUGUCGGGCUUGAGUAUGGUAGAGGUGAGUGGAAUUUCAGGUGUAGCGGUGAAAUGCGUAGAGAUCUGAAGGAACAUCAGUGGCGAAGGCGACUCACUGGGCCAUUACUGACACUGAGGUGCGAAAGCGUGGGUAGCAAACAGG
rnacentral:rRNA from 1 species